GUGACCUGCGGAAGGAUCWUUGUCGAGACCCGCAAAGCAGACCGCGAACACGUGUUUAACCACAUCGGGCCCGSGGCGCGGGGGGAAGCCUCCCGUCGCGAUCCCAUCCCCGCCRGCGUGCGCGARAGCGUUCCGUCGUGCGGGCUAACGAACCCCGGCGCGGCAUGCSCCAAGGAAAACGAAACAUAGCGUCCGCCUCCCGACGCCCCGUUCGCGGGGCGCGCGGGGGGACUGGACGUCUAUCGAAUGUCAAAACGACUCUCGGCAACGGAUAUCUCGGCUCUCGCAUCGAUGAAGAACGUAGCGAAAUGCGAUACUUGGUGUGAAUUGCAGAAUCCCGUGAACCAUCGAGUCUUUGAACGCAAGUUGCGCCCGAAGCCAUUAGGCCGAGGGCACGUCUGCCUGGGCGUCACGCAUCGCGUCGCCCCCCUCCCCGCGCACUGCGCKCGCGAGGGGGGSGSAGAUUGGCCCCCCGUSCGCGCRUCCGUCGCGCSC
rnacentral:misc_RNA from 1 species